UUCCUACGGGGCGCAGCAGUGGGGAAUAUUGCACAAUGGGGGAAACCCUGAUGCAGCGACGCCGCGUGAGUGAAGAAGUAUCUCGGUAUGUAAAGCUCUAUCAGCAGGAAAGAUAAUGACGGUACCUGACUAAGAAGCCCCGGCUAACUACGUGCCAGCAGCCGCGGUAAUACGUAGGGGGCAAGCGUUGUCCGGAAUUACUGGGUGUAAAGGGAGCGUAGGCGGGAAGCCAAGUCAGCUGUGAAAACUACGGGCUUAACCUGUAGACUGCAGUUGAAACUGGCUUUCUUGAGUGAAGUAGAGGU
rnacentral:rRNA from 1 species